rnacentral:lncRNA from 1 species
CUCAUUUUGUAACUCAUCUUAUUUGCCUUUUCAGAUUUCUUUUUCUACUGAUGUGCUAGACUGUUAUAGUAUUUGUUAAUAUGCAAAGAAGAGAAACAACUCCAUUUGAAAUUGAGACUUACGAGCAUAAUCAUUAAACUAAAAACUAGUUUGAUUUGAAAAGUAAACUAAGGACGUUUCCUCGAAUUUAAUGCUUGUUGCAUGGAUGAACAAGCUAGUGAACAUAUUAAAUCGCUUUUAUAAGUAUAACAAGAUUAAAAAUAAAUAAAUAAAUAAAAAGAGGGAUGAAGCAAAGACAGUAUGAGAAAUCAAAUUAAACAGUAGUUUUCAAACUAAAUCACCUAUCGGGAGCUGAACAUCAUCAUAUUCCUAUAGAUCAAACUCAGCAAUGACGUUUUGAAUUUGACAACCAAUGAUCGAUCUAUCUUGUAAGAUAGAGAAGAAGAACAUUCUCAGGAGGUAAAAAUCUGAAGCCCGCUGACAGAGUCUUCCUCCCUUCAGAAGAAAUCAUGACAAGUACAUCAACUUUACUGCAUCUACUCCACCUGACAAUAAAGAAGGAUCCGACAUCUUUUACUGCACUUUCUACAACUUGCUGAUAUUGUCUGAAAUUGAAGGAGAGAGCAUGGUUUGAUGAAGCGAGGAGGAUUGUGAAUUUAAAGGAGAAGCUAUAUUAGUUUAAAGGGAGAAGUUGUAAUUUAAAUUUGAAGGAGAGUUUAUGCAAGAGUGUUGUUCAUAAGAAAAGGGAUGUAUGUUGUGGUUUUUAUUAUUCUGUUAUAACGGAAAUCGGGUUUUGUUGAAUGAGGGUUACAUCCUCAAACUCUCUA